GUUGUACACCGAAUAACACUACAAAAUAAAUACUAGUCUCCUCUAAAUUAUUAAAUUAUUAUUUGUAUUUCCUUAGUCAGUGAUUGUAUGUAAUUCAUUUUUGGCCAUGAAGAAACAUGAAGAGUUGGGUGGGCUGGGCUCUCCCGAUCCGAGAUCCUGUUGGCCUGUUGGCCGUGGUAGCCAAAGGCUACCUACAAAGGGAAAGCCCAAACCCAUGCAAAAGCCCACUCCCAAGCGUGCACAACGGAAGGUCAAGGACGAGGACGAUAAUUAAGAUUUCUGCCUACCAACCGUUCAACCGUUCAACCGUUCAAAAUUAUCUGUUACACAACACUAGACGCACACUUCCACACAUUUUACCUUUCUUUCUUACCAAGCCUUGAUGGUACCUCCCCACAUCCUCCACUUCCAUGAUGUGAGGAUGUGGGUGAUGUGGAUGGCAUCACAAACACAUUGUUGAAGCUUUUUCCGCAUAAAAGAUAUACCUAUCCAUCCUUUCAAUCUAUUUUCAACGCAUAAUGAGGGCCGUAACUACUCUUCGGACACUCUACUACACAUUUGAUCUAUUUUCAACGCAUAAUGAGGGCCGUAACUACUCUUCGGACACUCUACUACACAUUUGAUCUAUUUUCAACGCAUAAUGAGGGCCGUAACUACUCUUCGGACACUCUACUACACAUUUGAUCUAUUUUCAACGCAUAAUGAGGGCCGUAACUACUCUUUGGACACUCCAAUACACACGUGGAAACAUGAAUUUCAACGCCAAUGAGUAUUGGAAAAUAUUUUAUGGAUCCGCCACACAUCUUUGCGCAUAGAGAAUGUGGGGAACAGGGGAUCGCAUCACUUUCCAGUGUCCAGAAUCCAGAAAAGUCGGACUUAUUGAAUUAUCGUUAUAAAAUAAAAUGGAACUUGCAAUAACCAAGAUUUUGUUGAAUAUUUGUAAAGUGUUUGGCUGGGGUCGGAUGACUGGUGCUCUCCACAAAACUGAACUGAAAACUGAACAAAAUUCUAUCCUUUCUAUUUUUAUUUACACACAUAGCAUAGUAUUUGCUUUAGUAAUACAUUGGAGCUUAAAACUAGUCUGCUUUUCAACACGUACUUUUGCACAUAUAUAAAUUAAUUACAUAUGGAUGUGUGAUGGACAUUUCUGCAGCUGCUACGUGAGUUCGGGGUUGGCUUGGCUGCUGCUGCUGCUGCUCAUUGCCGUCCAUUGCUUAACGUAGGAGCGUCCGACUGGAGUCGCAACUUUUCCAAUGCCUUUCAGCUAUUCAUUUGCUUCGGUGUGUGAGGUUCUCUUCCUUUAACUCUUCCCCAUUCAACUAUACAACUACAAUUUACAAUUACAAUUA